rnacentral:tRNA from 1 species
CAUGGUGUAGCGGUUAGCACUCAGGACUCUGAAUCCUGCGACCCGAGUUCAAAUCUCGGUG